rnacentral:rRNA from 1 species
UAAGGAAUAUUGGUCAAUGGACGAAAGUCUGAACCAGCCAUGCCGCGUGAAGGAUGAAGGUCCUCUGGAUUGUAAACUUCUUUUAUCUGGGACGAAAAAAGGGAAUUCUUUCUCACUUGACGGUACCAGAAGAAUAAGCACCGGCUAACUCCGUGCCAGCAGCCGCGGUAAUACGGAGGGUGCAAGCGUUAUCCGGAUUCACUGGGUUUAAAGGGUGCGUAGGUGGGCAGUUAAGUCAGUGGUGAAAUCUCCGGGCUUAACCCGGAAACUGCCAUUGAUACUAUCUGUCUUGAAUACUCUGGAGGUAAGCGGAAUAUGUCAUGUAGCGGUGAAAUGCUUAGAUAUGACAUAGAACACCGAUUGCGAAGGCAGCUUACGUACGGAGUCAUUGACACGUGAGGC